UACGUAGGGUGCAAGCGUUGUCCGGAAUUAUCGGGCGUAAAGAGCUCGUAGGCGGUCUGUUGCGUCGGCUGUGAAAACCCGGGGCUCAACCCCGGGCCUGCAGCCGAUACGGGCAGACUAGAGUUCGGCAGGGGAGACUGGAAUUCCUGGUGUAGCGGUGAAAUGCGCAGAUAUCAGGAGGAACACCGGUGGCGAAGGCGGGUCUCUGGGCCGAUACUGACGCUGAGGAGCGAAAGCGUGGGGAGCGAACAGG
rnacentral:rRNA from 1 species